GUAGUAGGUAUUUGAAUAAAUAAUACGUAUGUGACACAAUUCAAUUACUUUUGAAGUUAUCCGUAAAGUAGACGGUGCAUUUUUCUUUACAGGCAGGCAGGAUGUUACGGAAAAAGUUGUUAAAUUUGCGGCAUAGGCAGUAUAUUUACUGUAUUUGUGCAAUUGCAACUACGGCCGCCGCAUCUAUUCAUGACUCUUGGUCUUCGACAUUUCUGCCUCAAAUACGGUCUAAAAAUUCGCCAAUAGGUGUUAUACUUAAUACAAUUCAAUCAUCAACUGUUGUAAGUAUGAACGGUGUAGGUGGAACAUUGGGUAGCAUCAUCACUAUUUGGAUAAUGGAUAUUUUUGGAAGGAAAGCCGUUUUAAUUGCAGCAGGCAGUUGUAAUCUAAUUUCUUGGGCGUUGAUGUACUUCGCAAAUGGGAUAGAAAUAUUAUGUAUAUCCAGAAUAUUAGGUGGAAUAGCUAUAGGACUUUCAUUGAA